rnacentral:rRNA from 1 species
GCCCAACAGCUAGCCCAUCCAACUAAGCCAAUACCUCACUAUUAAAUAUCUUUUAUCUUCAUCCGAUUAAACAAACCAUUUUCCCUCCUAAGUACGGGCGACGGAAAAGGAGAAACCCUGGGAGCAACAGACAAAGUACCGCAAGGGAAAGCUGAAAAAGAAGUGAAACAACCCUUUUAAGCCCAAAAAAGCAGAGCUUACCCCUCGUACCUUUUGCAUCAUGAUUAAGCCAGUACACUAAAGCAAAGCGCCCUUUAGUUUUUUACCCCGAAACUAGACGAGCUACUCCGAGGCAGCCUAUUGUAGGGCCAACCCGUCUCUGUGGCAAAAGAGUGGGAAGAACUCCGAGUAGAGGUGACAGACCUACCGAGCCUAGUUAUAGCUGGUUGCCUAAGAAAUGAAUAGAAGUUCAGCCCUCCGGCCAAUCCCGCCCCGACUGCACUAAGCACCCUCGGCCCCGGGCUAAACGGAGGCGUUAGUCAAAGAAGGUUCAGCUUCUUUGAACAAAGAUACAACUUUUUUAGGAGGCUAAAGAUCAUAUUAAAACAAGGAACAAUUGUUUUAGUGGGCCUAAAAGCAGCCACCUAAACAAAAAGCGUUAAAGCUUAUACAACAAUUUAAUCCUCCAAUUUUGAUAAUAAAUUCUCAUACCCCUAGAUUUACUAGGCCACUUCAUGCCCCCAUGAAAGAGACCAUGCUUAAAUGAGUAAUAAGAGGGCAUGACCCUCUCCCAGCACAAGUGUAAAUCGGAUUGGACCCACCCCCGAUAUUUAACGGCCCCAACCAUCAGAGGGGAUUGAACUUUAAACCAGUUACUGAACCAGAAAAACACUCAAUUAAUUUAACCGUUGAUCCCACACAGGAGUGCCUCACCAGGAAAGACUUAAAGAUAAGGAAGGAACUCGGCAAACACAAGCCUCGCCUGUUUACCAAAAACAUCGCCUCUUGCAAGUAAAAGAAUAAGAGGUCCCGCCUGCCCUGUGACCCACAAAGUUUAACGGCCGCGGUAUUUUGACCGUGCGAAGGUAGCGCAAUCACUUGUCCUUUAAAUGAGGACCUGUAUGAAUGGCAUAACGAGGGCUUAGCUGUCUCCCCUGUCCAGUCAAUGAAAUUGAUCUUCCCGUGCAGAAGCGGGGCUAAUUACAUAAGACGAGAAGACCCUAUGGAGCUUUAGACAAUCAAACGACCUCUUUUAAACAACUUCCCACAAAUAAGCUGACCCCCUUUGACGGACCCCGUUUUAUGUCUUUGGUUGGGGCGACCGUGGGGAAAAGAAAAUCCCCCAUGAGGACCAAAAACCACCACUUUUAUAGCCAAGAGCCUACCACUCAAAGCAUCAGAACCUCUGACCCUAAUGAUCCGGCCCAACAGCCGAUCAACGAACCGAGUUACCCUAGGGAUAACAGCGCAAUCCCCUCUCAGAGCCCAUAUCGACGAGGGGGUUUACGACCUCGAUGUUGGAUCAGGACAUCCUAAUGGUGCAGCCGCUAUUAAGGGUUCGUUUGUUCAACGAUUAAUAGUCCUACGUGAUCUGAGUUCAGACCGGAGUAAUCCAGGUCAGUUUCUAUCUAUGACUUGCUCUUUUCUAGUACGAAAGGACCGAGAAGAGAGGGCCCCUGUCACCAGUAUGCCCUACCCCCACCUGAAGAAAACAACUAAAACAGGCAAAAGGGUAAACUUUAUAUGUCUUAUUAGAGACGAUAAUAC